rnacentral:rRNA from 1 species
UACGUAGGGUGCAAGCGUUGUCCGGAAUUAUUGGGCGUAAAGAGCUCGUAGGCGGUUUGUCGCGUCUGCUGUGAAAACGCGAGGCUCAACCUCGCGCCUGCAGUGGGUACGGGCAGACUAGAGUGCGGUAGGGGAGAUUGGAAUUCCUGGUGUAGCGGUGGAAUGCGCAGAUAUCAGGAGGAACACCGAUGGCGAAGGCAGAAUCUCUGGGCCGUAACUGACGCUGAGGAGCGAAAGCGUGGGGAGCGAACAGG